GGGUCAGCAGGCUGGUCGUGCCACCGGUACGUACCGGUCUCACUGAUUCCUCCUUCCUGAAGAACCGUAAUGCCAUUAAUUUGGUGUUGCGGGGAAACAGGACUGUUACUUUGAAAAAAUUAGAGUUUUUAAAGCAAGCUAACGCUUGAAUACAUUAGCAUGGAAUAAUGAAAUAGGACGAUCGAUCCUAUUUUGUUUGUUUCUAGGAUUGACGUA
rnacentral:rRNA from 1 species